rnacentral:rRNA from 1 species
AGAAUCAACGCUGGCGGCGUGCCUAACACAUGCAAGUCGAACGAGAAAGUGGAGCAAUCCAUUAGUAAAGUGGCGCACGGGUGAGUAACACGUGACUAACCUACCCUUGAGUGGGGGAUAACCUAGAGAAAUCUGGGCUAAUACCGCAUAAUACCUUCGGGUCAAAGGAGCAAUUCGCUUAAGGAGGGGGUCGCGGCCGAUUAGUUAGUUGGCGGGGUAAUGGCCCACCAAGACUAUGAUCGGUAUCCGGCCUGAGAGGGCGCACGGACACACUGGAACUGAAACACGGUCCAGACUCCUACGGGAGGCAGCAGUGGGGAAUUUUGCGCAAUGGGGGAAACCCUGACGCAGCAACGCCGCGUGGAGGAUGAAGCCCCUUGGGGCGUAAACUCCUUUCGAUCGGGACGAUAAUGACGGUACCGAGAGAAGAGCCCGGCUAACUUCGUGCCAGCAGCCGC